rnacentral:rRNA from 1 species
GAUGAACGCUAGCUAUAGGCUUAACACAUGCAAGUCGAGGGACCGGCGCACGGGUGAGUAACGCGUAUCCAACCUGCCCAUAACUAAGGGAUAACCCAGCGAAAGUUGGACUAAUACCUUAUGGAUAUGGAUGGGGAUGCGUCUGAUUAUCUUGUUGGUGGGGUAACGGCCCACCAAGGCAACGAUCAGUAGGGGUUCGGAGAGGAAGGUCCCCCACAUUGGACCGGAGACCCGGUCCAAACUCCUACCGGAGGCAGCGGUGAGGUAUAUUGGUCAAUAGACGCAAGUCUGAACCAGCCAAGUAGCGUGCAGGAUGGCGGCCUAUGGGUUGUAAACUGCUUUUAUAUGGGGAUAGGUACCAUAUGAAUAAGGACCGGCUAAUUCCGUGCCAGCCGCCGCGGUAAUAC